GGCGAAUUUGCAAAAUGCGCGUAACAUGGAGGGUCAAUUCGGAAAUAUUCCAAACCCUCCAAAACGUAGCGCUCCGAGCAUGGAAAAAAUUGAAAUAAAUGAUGAAAAAUGCAGCCGCAUUUAAGAAACAUGAAAGAAUCAAUUUAAGCAUGUUACAAAGGCGGAGGACCAAUCGUGCAAAUAAUCCAUGGAGCCUUGACAUAAAGUCCAAACGGUGCCAUUUUGCUUAUGUCAUUAGAAACAAAAAGUUUCCUAGCACCUUCAUGCCGCCGUCGCCGUGCCAACCACGGAGCCACCGCGUACGGCGCUCGAAACCAGGUAAACGUCCUUUCUUUCUUUAUAUAUAUAUAUAUUAAAAAUAUAUGAAACAAAGAUCAGAAAAAAAAUGAAGAAAAUUCGAAAAAAGGAAAAGCAAAUCACCCUUAAAUUGCUAUCUCUCUCUGUUCUUCAAUAGUUUUCGACACAAUAUUCCUCACACCAAUUUUGUAUCCAUUUUCUCCCCCCUUUUACCGAUUGAAAAUCGACCUUUUAUUCCCCCAAAAUAACAGACCAAAAAAAACUCUCCAAAAACCCCCUUACAUUUGUUGUAAUUUCCCCUUUUAUCUUCUGUUACCCCAUUUUCCUUGCUUUUGCUGCAGUUUGUGAUCCGUUUCAGGGACACGGGAGGAGACGUGCGUGGAAACUGCAACCACUGGCACACACGCGCGAAACUGCUACUAGGGUUUCCUGAUCCUUCCUCUGCUAUUGGUUUCGGGCUACUGUUUGGGCUCAUUUGGGUUUAGUCUAGGCUUGGGUUAAUUGGGUUUAGUAAUGGACUGUUAAUUAUUUAGUUUUUUAGCCAGGCCAAAAUUGGCCUAUUACGUAUAUUUUAUUUCUUUUUUUUUUUUGUCAUUUUAUUUGACAAGUUGUUACAUACAUAGUCAAUUAUAAGCAGGAAAAAAAACUCAAACUGCCAUUUCUCAGUCAUUCCUCAAAUUAGUAGUAUUGUUGGAGUAUUAAAUUGAUAGAAUUUAGAUUAAAUUUGCUGCAUUAUUUAGAAUUAGAGCUUAUUUGAUUGAAUGUAUAAGUAUUAAGGACUAAAUAUAUUAUUAUACCAAGUAAAAAAAGCUCACCCCACC
rnacentral:lncRNA from 1 species